CCUACGGGGGACAGCAGUGGGGAAUAUUGGGCAAUGGGCGCAAGCCUGACCCAGCAACGCCGCGUGAAGGAAGAAGGCUUUCGGGUUGUAAACUUCUUUUAUCAGGGACGAAGCAAGUGACGGUACCUGAUGAAUAAGCCACGGCUAACUACGUGCCAGCAGCCGCGGAAAUACGUAGGUGGAAAGCGUUAUCCGGAUUUACUGGGUGUAAAGGGCGUGUAGGCGGUAGGGCAAGUCAGAUGUGAAAACUAUGGGCUUAACCCAUAGCCUGCAUUUGAAACUGUCAAACUAGAGUACGGGAGAGGUAAGAGGAAUUCCUAGUGUAGCGGUGAAAUGCGUAGAUAUGAGGAGGAACACCAGUGGCGAAGGCGUCUCACUGGACCGAAACUGACGUUGAGGCUCGAAAGCGUGGGGAGCAAACAGGAUUAGAUACCCCAGUAGUC
rnacentral:rRNA from 1 species